rnacentral:misc_RNA from 1 species
UUAAGUUCAGCGGGUAUCCCUACCCGAUCCGAGGUCAACCUUGGGUAAAUAAGGCUUUUAACGGCCGGAACCCGCAGCACGCCCUGAGCGAGAUGUAUUACUGCGCUCGGUGUGACUAGCGAGCCCGCCACUGGUUUCAGGGCCUGCGGGCAGCCGCAGGACCCCAACACAAGCAGGGCUUGAUGGUUGAAAUGACGCUC